UCGACCAUUCUUAGAUCUAGGAAAAGCCAAGCUUCCAACUUUCAGUGAGUCACUUUACAAUGCACAUGUCAAGCCAAUGGAGUAGUUGCCCUGAUAGAGCAUUUUUAUUCUAGUGCUUGCAAGUCAUGUCAAUAUGAUUAUAUAGCCCAUGUCUUUCCAUGAUAGGUACUACAUACAUAUACGAGAUGCGGACCAAAAAGUUGCAAUGGUAAUUAGCACAGAUCUGUUUGUUAUUUUUAGCUAGUCUGCUAAUGGUAUAUAUUCUUCUACUCGCUCCAUCCGACAAGGAUGCCGGUAGAUUUGUCUAAAUCCGGCUAAUGUAUCGCCAUAGCUAGUGUUCUAUAAUGUAUAGAUACACCGAAAUUUAGAAAAAUCUGUGAAAUCCUUUUCGGGACAUUUAGUUUCUCCUGGUCAUCUACUACCGCAAUAGCAAGAUUGGCCCUCCUAUCACAGCAGUGUAUAAUAUAAAAUCUAGUAACUGAGCAAGGACUGAACCUGCACAUGCAUGCAGCUUUUAAUCUGAUCCUGGUGUAGCCAAUGAUCUUGUUGGUGUUCCAUUGGAUCCCCUUCCCUUGCACAGUCCUUGAGACCCAAUCUACUGACAGUGACAACAAAUCAAAGGAUAACCAUAGCAAAAUCCUUGUUUUGUGAUCUUGAGGGCUCACUGCAUGGUAGAUUAAGAACCAAUUGACCCUUCAUCUUGAGGCAACCGGCCAUGUUAGUUUAUAAUUUGAUGCUGGUGUCAUAUGAGGUCAGCAUGCAUGCAGGGGUGGCUAUACAAUAUGGGUUGUUGGAGCAUCACAGGUUACAAAGUACAACCAGGUCUUGAGUUGGAAGCAAUGUGGAUGGGUGUUGUGUGCAUGCUAAUUAUUUUACUUAUAUUUAUGCUUGUGGUGGCUCCCAAAGCUGUGAAGCAUCUGAGGAGAAUAAAUAAUGGUGGCAUCACAAGUGGAGAGUGAUCUGCAUUAAGUAGGACAGGUGUGCAUUCAUCUGCUUUUCUCCACUCUUUAGAGGGUUCAGAAUUGUUCCCCCAAUACUCACAUUUAUGAUUUGGGUGUCAAGCUCACAUGCUUCUUCUGCGGCCACUAAUCCAAUAACUUGCCUCCCAUGCCAUUGCUUGACAGCUCCUCCCCCUGGUGGGGUGUAUCUUGAGGCUAGAUUUUCCUGGACUAAAACACAAACAGCCUGUCAUAUUUUUGUUGUGAGCAGCAGGACAACUCAAUCAUUUUAUUUUCUUACCUGCUCUAAAUCCAGAACGGAUAAACAUCCUCCCAUGUUUAGUUAGACUGCAAGCCCUGAACUAGAUCUGAACCUGCUGCAAUCAGUUAAGCCAUGAUUUGUCUCGUGAACUGCUGAAUUUUCCUUUUGCAGUAUGAAAAAACUUCAGGUUCUAUAUAGCUUCAUCAAUGGACAGAAGGGGAAAAGGGGCUUCAUCAUUCAGUGCCUUCAUCGGUGAAAAAAAAAAGCCAUGCUCUGACCAGAGCUUGAUCAUGCAUCCACUCGAGACUGAACCUUGGCAUCAGAGAGAAGUGUAAGAAAGUGGGAAAGAAUAUGUGGAUCUCAUCAUCAGCCGUGGCAAAGUGUAUAUGUCUCGUUGGACCUGACCUGACCUGGCAGGCAUCGCCCACAUGGCCUCCUCUGCUAAGUGCUAACUAAGCCCAGAUCAAAUCCGAUUGUUUAAGCGCAGCAAAUCUUGGAAGAAACAUGGCUGUCUCGCGACACAAUGCUGAUCCCCAAAUCUGAAAGGAUAUGUGGUUCUCCUGUUGGUUAAUCAAGGCAUCUAUCACUGCAGUGCAAGUCAAGUCCAAGGUAAUUAAGCGGCUCCAUGAGUUUUGUAUAACGAGGAGUGAGGGGUGCUUAGAUGUGCUGUAAGAACCGACCAAAUUCAGAGGAUUUUAACCUGGCUCCUGACGACAAAAACAUAUACGCACAGCUAGCAAUGCCUGGGAUGUGAGGGACAGCCGGCCGCGUGCAGCCUGUAAAUACUGUAAUGCCGUACAAACAAUUUAUACAUGGGUGGUUAGCUGACCCAGAAUAUGUAUGCACAUUUUUGUUGCAAAAACUGAGAAUGUUUGCAGUGUUCUGGCAUGAGAGGGAGA